UUUGUUCUUAGCCCGGGAAUAAGGGUCAAAAAGGACACGGAUAUUUAAGAGCUAUUGCGCUCUCGUCCGGCGUCCUUGGUUUGCUUGCUUGUUCUUCAACUCUUGUCCGGUGAUUCGAGUUUGUUUGUGUAUGAAUCCCCAACCGCUGUUCUUUCCUUUAUUUGUCCGAUCUAGUAGUUGCUUAGUGAUAAGACAAUUUCUUACAACUCUGACUUGGAUCGUCGAGUGGAUACUUUUCUUUGGGAGGAUAUCAAGUCAACCUAGUUCCAGACCCAAGACUUCUGGUUCCAGUUUUCUUCUGUGUGUGCCCCUGAUCUUCUUACGAACUAAAGACUGUGAUUUAAGGACUAAAGACUGUCAAUUGUGAUCGCC
rnacentral:lncRNA from 1 species